AUAUAAAAUUUUGUUUGGUGUAGAUUUUGAGUGCAGAUCAGUUCUUCUUUGAGAGGCUUAUUGUUGAUCUACUUUUAUGCAAGGUACCAAUUGACUGGGUUGUGUAAAUUUGUGCUUAAAGAUUGUGUUAGGCUUUGUGGAGGGUGCGAUAAUCGGGCAUGGUAUCUCUUAGUCCUUAUUGUCGAUAACUGGUGGUUUAACCCUCGUGAGCUUUACCUUGCACCAUCACUCCGAAAGCUGGCUCUAUACAUGAGUCAAGGGUAGUUGAUAUUGAGGCUUCGGGGAAGAAAAGUUGUGAGUUUGUUGCAAAAUCUUAAGCUUUUGAACCAGCUUCUCGAGAGUAACAUUUUGCUCUCCUUAUUUCUGUUGGUGUUGCUAUCCUUCUCUCUUGGAGGAGUUGACAACGGACAUCAUUGGUGAAUUUGGUUCCUUCAAGCUUUGUCCUUAACUCUAGGUUUUCAUGUUUUAGGCCUUAAACCCUAUGUUUGUGAGCUUGUAUUUUUUGUCUCAACCUCUAGUUAUUUUAAAUUUAUUCAAAGCAUAUGAAUUUUCAUAAAAAUUUGAAUUGAUUUUUCAAUAAAAUUGAAUUGAACUCUAAUUAUUUCAAACUAGGCUUUGUAAUAGUGCAAAAUAUUUCUUUAAUCCUUUUUACAAAUUAACUCUAAAUAAG
rnacentral:misc_RNA from 1 species